UGGCGGGUAUCCAUGGUGGUGCUUCUCCUGCAUAUGGACAGAGAAGGGGGAAAGAUGGAUUAGAGGAGAGAGGAGGAAACGGAGAAAGCGUUGGGGGCAGUGUUGCUCAUAUGCUUGGGUCCAGCGAGGCAGCUUGCCAGAGUGGUGCGACGGCGGGGUCAAACAGGCAAGGUGCGAGGGCGAUAGAGGAGCUCGCGCUGCUCUCGUGAGGGUUGCAGCUAGUGCGGAAGUAUGCUGGCUUCAGAUGCGGGCGCACGUCAAUGGCGACCUUUGGGUCCGUGCAGGCUCCAAACGGGCUCGGCGGUCCCUAGCGCUAGCGAUGGGAGGACACCAGCGGUUGGCGGUGUCUAGGCAGUGGUUGCGAGGAAAACGAGGCAAAGGCUAGGG
rnacentral:lncRNA from 1 species